rnacentral:lncRNA from 1 species
AGGCAGGACAUGACUAAAAUGCAGGUUACCGAGGACAUGACCCUCGAUAGGGGAGUAUGGAGGUCUAGAAUCAGGGUUGCAGGAUAGGGGCUCUUAGAAUCCUUCGUUCACCUCACCCGGGGUUGGGUGUGGGAUAGUAGGGUUACCCAUCGAUGUCUAGUGUUUUAGCCUAGGUCCCCUCUUGGUUGCGACGGUAUUUAUGUUCCUNNNNNN